UGACAAUGCCUUGAGAAUUUUUGCCCAAACCUGUGCCUUCGACAAAGCCCAUCCUUGCCAUCAUCUUUGAGCCAAAACCUUUGGUAUGCUUUUCAAAAGCUCCCAAGCUUUUAUGUUUAGCAUGAUUUUCAUAUCUUCCAGUGCUUUGAGGUUUAUUCUCGAAAGAGUCAUCAAUAGUGUUAGGGAAGUUGGCACCCAAACCAAGUGAUUUAGGCCUUUGGAUCACUUCGAUGGGCUCUGCCAUACCUUGACCAGCUUUUCCCAGACCUCCACCUUCUACAAAUCCCAUUUUUGCCAUCAUCUUGGAUCCAAAACCCUUAGUGUGGACCUCAAAUGCACCAACUUUUGCUGAGCUGAUUGUAACCUUAUUUUCAGAAUUUUCAGUCUCCAUUGUCAUACUAUCAUCAACUGUUUCAGGCAUUGUGCCACUUGAUACAAAUGACACUGGUUGAUUGGCGUAUAAACAACUCCCUACCCGUCUCUUGGAUGCACUGACAUUCUCACUGUUGACUGGGUUCUUUGAUGAUUUGCUCCAAGCUUGAAAGUCCAGUGGCCUCUGCUUCAUCCUAUUUCUGUCUGCAGUUGCUGAUUUUGCUCUUGAGCAUUCAUUAACAGUGAAAUCGGCAUCCUCAUUUCCAGCUCCUAUCAGCUUUUCUAGACGGAGUUUAUCACUUGGUGAUGGCAUGCUUGUGUGCGGAGUUCUUGUCACUGUUACAAAUCUUUUCUUACCCGAACCUUGGCAGCCACUGCGUAAACGGUAAAUUGCUGCCAAUCGUUUUACCUGGGAACAAUCUCGGGAGUGCAUAGGUUGAAAAGCAAACAUGUCCACCUGUUCCAAAACAAUCUGUUCCAGUUUCACAUUUAUUUUCUCAAGGUCAACUCCCCUUUGCAGCAUUCUUUCACGACGUUUGGCAGCAAUCAUCUCCUUUCGGUGUUUCUUUUUCGCACCUGGAAAAUUUCUAGAAUUUUUACUGUUUUGUGCCUUUAAAGGCCAAGACUGAGGCAACCGAAAAGCAAGCUUCUUUUUGGCAGAAACAGUUCUUGGAUCUUUUACAAGCAUAAGGUCAUCCAAACCUGAUGGCCAAGGAU
rnacentral:misc_RNA from 1 species